rnacentral:rRNA from 1 species
UGGGGAAUUUUAGACAAUGGGCGAAAGCCUGAUCCAGCAAUGCCGCGUGUGUGAAGAAGGCCUUCGGGUUGUAAAGCACUUUUGUCCGGAAAGAAAUCCUUGGCUCUAAUACAGUCGGGGGAUGACGGUACCGGAAGAAUAAGCACCGGCUAACUACGUGCCAGCAGCCGCGGUAAUACGUAGGGUGCAAGCGUUAAUCGGAAUUACUGGGCGUAAAGCGUGCGCAGGCGGUUUGCUAAGACCGAUGUGAAAUCCCCGGGCUCAACCUGGGAACUGCAUUGGUGACUGGCAGGCUAGAGUAUGGCAGAGGGGGGUAGAAUUCCACGUGUAGCAGUGAAAUGCGUAGAGAUGUGGAGGAAUACCGAUGGCGAAGGCAGCCCCCUGGGCCAAUACUGACGCUCAUGCACGAAAGCGUGGGGAGCAAACAGGAUUAGAUACCCUGGUAGUCCACGCCCUAAAACGAUGUCAACUAGUUGUUGGGGAUUCAUUUCCUUAGUAACGUAGCUAACGCGUGAAGUUGACCGCCUGGGGAGUACGGUCGCAAGAUUAAAACUCAAAUGAAUUGACGGGGUCAUAGCUGUUUCCU